rnacentral:rRNA from 1 species
UACGAAGGGGGGCUAGCGUUGUUCGGAUUUACUGGGCGUAAAGCGCACGUAGGCGGGUCGUUAAGUCAGGGGUGAAAUCCCGGAGCUCAACUCCGGAACUGCCUUUGAUACUGGCGACCUUGAGGCUGGAAGAGGUUAGUGGAAUUCCCCAGUGUAGAGGUGAAAUUCGUAGAUAUUGGGAAGAACACCAGUGGCGAAGGCGGCUAACUGGUCCAGAUCUGACGCUGAGGUGCGAAAGCGUGGGGAGCAAACAGG